GGAUGAGUGAUUGUGCAGGAGUGAGAAGUCCUAUGGAGACUAGUUUUGUGAAGGACAGCCAGCAAGUAGAACGCGCUGCGUUCGAAAAUACUGAAGUGUUUCAGUCAGCUCUAGGGAGUUUGUUGUACUUGUCCCAGUGGAGCAGACCUGAUAUAGCGUUUGCUGUCAAUCUGCUCAGCAGGGAGGCAUCAAACCCUAGUGUGCAAGCCUGGAAUGGCAUCAAGAGAGUUCUGAGGUAUUUGCAGGAGACCAAAGACUUUUGUCUUAGGUUGCCAGCACAAGGAGAAGUCAAACUGACUUGCUUUGUGGACUCGGAUUGGGCUAAUCUUGAGGAUCGCAAGUCUGUGUCUGGCCUAGUGGUGAAGUUUGGGAACUCAGUAGUUGGAUGGAGGUCCAAGAAGCAAAGUCUGAUAGUGCUCUCAUCCACUGAGGCUGAGUUUAGUGCUCUUUCAGAGAUGUGCAGAGAAGUAGAGUUCUAUGCUUGUUUGGUGCAGGAACUCUGCGAAGUGGAUUGUCUGCCGAUACGUGUUUUCGAGGACAAUCAACCAUGCCUGCGUUUGGCAGAGUCAGGUCAGUUCAAGGCCAGAACGAAACACCUAGACAUUCGCUUUCGGAAUGUGUGCCAGAGUGUUCAGGAGGGAUUAGUUGCGCUGAAGUACUGUCCCUCUGCCAAGAACCUAGCUGAUGGGUUCACGAAACCACUCACCUUCCAAAGACAUGGGGAGUUUUGUGAAGGUCUGGGUUUGGGACGACCAAGGGUCGAUUCUCCCCUCAGGCGCGAGACAAGAGGGGGUGUUGGGUGUAGUGAAGGGUUAACCUUCUGUGUCUCGAGGCUGAGAGGAGGCGCUUACAAGGGAAGUAAGCCAGGACGUGACGAAAGCAGCUUGGAAUGCUGUGAGCUGAGUGAAAAGUGAAAGCAGCUUUGCUACGCAGCUGCUGAGAGAGACAGGUCGCAAAAUGCAACUGGAAUCAGAUGGUGUAUAUGAACUGUAAACAUGCUAUUUUUGAGCAAAUAAAGUGCUACUAGGAAAGAAGAAACGUGUGGGACCUAUUUACUGACUGCCCUUUCUACAC